CAGUAGCCGCGGGAACACGAAGGGUGCAAGCGUUAAUCGGAAUUACUGGGCGUAAAGCGUGCGUAGGCGGUUUGUUAAGUUGGAUGUGAAAUCCCCGGGCUCAACCUGGGAACUGCAUUCAAAACUGACUGACUAGAGUAUGGUAGAGGGUGGUGGAAUUUCCUGUGUAGCGGUGAAAUGCGUAGAUAUAGGAAGGAACACCAGUGGCGAAGGCGACCACCUGGACUAAUACUGACACUGAGGUGCGAAAGCGUGGGGAGCAAACAGGAUUAGAUACCCCGGUAGUCCAUGUCUCUUAUAC
rnacentral:rRNA from 1 species